UUCGUUUCUCCCUCCCGUAGCUCUCUCCUUCUCAGCUCUCCCGUCUCUCUCUCUCCCUCAACCUCUCGCAUCUCUCUCUUCCCCUGGACUCACUAGGACCGAGUCACCAUCGAAGAGAGGCUCGCAACGAACCCCGGACCCUGCCCUGCGAGUUCGACGGCACGGAGUAAGCUCCGGCGAGCACCGCCCCUUUCGAGGCCAUUUCCGGCCAAACCACAGCGAGUUGGCCGGCGUGUAAGUUUCCGGCGAGUCCGACGGCUUUCGAGGCAUUUUCCGGCCAAAAAACGGCGAGUUAGACGUCGUGUGAGGUACCAUUCUCUUCGUCUCUUCAAGGGCUACAACUUUCAUUUUCGUCUUACUUGAUUUCGUUGAGUAUUGACAAAGUUAUGGCCAUUUAAAGUUGGGUGGUUUUCCGGCCGAAAUUCCGGCCUUCUCCUUCGACAAACCCAGGCCAUCCGGCCUUUCCCUCUCCCUCGGGCCUUAGGCCCGUGUUGCCUUAGCCCAGUACCCUAACCCAUUCAGUUUUUAUUUUUAGUUAUA